GCACCAGUAGUUUAAGGGUAGAAUCCAAGCUUCCCAUUGGAAGCCUGCUUGGGGACCGUGUUCGAGUCACGGCUGGUGCA